AUGCUGAGAAACGGUGGCUAAUACCGGGUAUGCCGAGAGGUGAAAGGUUAACUGCCUGGAGAUGAGCUCGCGUCUGAUUAGCUAGUUGGUGGUGUAAGGGACUACCAAGGCGACGAUCAGUAGCUGGUCUGAGAGGAUGAUCAGCCACACUGGAACUGAGACACGGUCCAGACUCCUACGGGAGGCAGCAGUGGGGAAUUUUCCGCAAUGGGCGAAAGCCUGACGGAGCAAUACCGCGUGAGGGAGGAAGGCUCUUGGGUUGUAAACCUCUUUUCUCAGGGAAUAAGCAAGUGAAGGUACCUGAGGAAUCAGCAUCGGCUAACUCCGUGCCAGCAGCCGCGGUAAUACGGAGGAUGCAAGCGUUAUCCGGAAUGAUUGGGGCGUAAAGCGUCCGUAGGUGGCUGUGUGUGUCUAUUUGUUAAAGAGUUUGGGCUCAACCCAAAUAAGGGGCGGGUAGAAACUACACAGCUUGAAGUGCGUUCGGGGGCAAAAGGAAAUUCCUGGGUGGUCGCNAUG
rnacentral:rRNA from 1 species